CUGUGCGCGUUGUCCAGAAAUAGCCGUCAGCCAGCCAACGUGGGAGGAGCGCCCCCCCCCGGAAAAAAGAAAAAAAAAAAGUUCCCUCCGUCGAGGAAGAAAAAAAGCUCAACAAAGAAGAAAAGUUGACAAGUGAAAAGUUCGAUCUUGGAGUGGAUGUGGGUCGGUGACGUCACUUCGCCGAGUCCCGUGCGCGCGCCCCUCUUGAAAGUGACGACUAAGUGCGAAGAUGACGGCGAGGCCAUGAAGAUGCCGUGGCGCCGCCGAGCCCUUUUCGGCCCGCUGCUGGUUCUGCUCGGCGCGGGGGGCUUCCUCUUCUACCGGACCCUCAACACCAGCGGCAACCCCGGGACCGGGAGGAGCCGAGCACGGCACGACGGACGCAAGCUGAGCGCCGCCUUGCAGAAUCUGCAGUCAUCUCGCGGCACAGGCGGCGAGCGGCGGCGGGCCGUGCUGGUGAUCGGCCGCCGGGAGCCAAGCGACGGCGAGGCGCAGCUGUACCGACGACUUCUCAGUCGCCUUCGCUUCCAUGUCCAAACCAGCGCGCGCGCCGAUUCCAUGCGGCAGCACGGGGAAGGCCAAUGGAGCCUGUUGGUGUGCGUGAGCUCGGAGGAGAGAAAUUGUCUGACGAAGAUGGCCACCUCGCAGCUCGGCCCGCGGCAGAGGGUCAACCUGCUACCUGGCCUGGUGGAGGCGCUGUCUGCUGUGCUGACAGCAGAGGGAUUUCCCAUCACGCCUCCUGCUGGCAUGGCCGCCAAUCGCAGCCGGACACUCGCCGCUGACAGUGCGAAAGCUCCUCCGCCUGACCCGGUUGCCGUGGUGACCGCUUUUGUGUUGGUGACUUCACUGAGGCCUCUGAGCUCCUUCCUGCACGACGUCGCCGUGGUGACCGCCAAUCAGACAUCCAGGGCCGCACAGCUCAGAGACUUGCUGCUUCCCGAGGCUCUGGAGCAGGCCAAGAGGGUCAUAGGUCACGUGCUGGGGGCUGCCGUGUCCGCCAACGAGCGGGCGCCAAACCGCAACAGGUGUGCGUUGUGUUACCAGCUGCUGACCUUCACGCUGACCUUCAGCGGCGCCAUCACGCCGCUCGUCACGCAGGUGGGGGUGGGUUUGUCUCUUGGGGUUCUGAGUGACGAGCAGUUUGACAGACAGGUGACUCGUGACGUCAUCCUGGAGGACACGCUGGACUUUCUGUUGUCCUCGGAGGCGGCCGAUGACGACGCUCAGCGUGACGUCUUCACGGAGACGAGCGGCGUCAGGGUCUCGGUGGAAAACUUUCGACUUCUGCAAAACUUUCACCACCACAUGAUGGCGCCGUCGUCCUUCCAGCUGGUGUGUCCCAGCGUGUCCUGGUCGUGUGGGUCCAUCUCUCGCCUUUCUGACGUCCUUCUGGCCAUCGUCCGCCAUUCCAAGAACAGCAGGGCCAACCGAUCAGACGCACCGGCGGCCGAUCGGAGCACAGGUCGGUGCACAGAACCCCGCCUCCGACAGAUCUACUUUUCCCCGCCCCUCACGUUAAGCCCCGCCUUCAGUCCCCACGUGACCCAGUACAGCGCCGACGUGACCUUUGACACGCUCGUGCUUCGCAUGCGCGCAGAGACUGUUAGUAAAGCGUGCCGUGCGCACCCCAGGGUGUCGAUGGUCCCCGUGGGCCUGGGCCGGGGCAGCGUCAACAUUCUGCUCACGGACGCGGACGCGCCCGCCUCCUCGCCCUCGCCCUCGCCGCGCACGCUGGCCAUCUACACUGUCCACUUGCUCCGUGAGGCUCCGCCCAGCCUGCCCAUGUUUGGAGAUCAUGUGACCUGCAGCUUCCUGCAAGACUGCGGCCUGGUGGUGGUUCCCGGUCUUCCUUGCGGCCUGGAAUCUUUUUCCAGGUCUCCCGAUCCCCUUUCGGCGUGCACGUCGGGCCACGCUCCAGUUUCUUGGCGUGGGGUCGAAGGUCGCUGGCUGGUCCCGUGUCUCAGCUGCUCGGACAACAGGACGUGCGAUUGGCGGGAGGUCACCUGGCAACCGGACGGCUGUCGUCACCCGUUGGUGGAAACUCCGCGGCUGCGGCAAUGCAUGGCCGGCAAAAAGGUGACCGUGAGGCAGCCCGACUCUUUGUGCCUCUUCCGUCCGUCCGUCCGUCCUUCCUUCCUUCCUUUCUUUCUUUCGCCCUCCGUCCCUUGCUUUCCUCCUCCAUUCUUUCCUUUCUCCAUUCCUCGUCCGCCCCCCCGUCCUACAGGUGUUGUUCCUGGGGGACUCGACCAAUCGCGGCAUGAUGUACUUCCUGCUGGAGCGCCUCAACUCCAGUCUGGCGGCGUGGCACAAGGCGCACGACACGCUGGCCUACGACAACGUGAACGGGGGCCGCACGUGGGCGGCCUACUCGUAUUAUCCGCAGUUCUGGCUGGAGCCCCGGCGGAGGCCCGCCUUCGGGCAGGCGCUCGCUCGACUGCUGCACAGGUCGCGCCCUCUGGCCAACUCCGAGCAGACGGUGUUGGUGGUGGGAGGAGUUCAGUGGCUGACGGCCAAUCACCUGCAGACGCUGCGAGCGGUCCUGGACAGAGAGUCUCUGGCCGGCGUCCGGGUGGUCCUCAAGUCCUUGGGGAUGGGCUUCCACGUCCCCGCGGACGGGGUCCGAUCCCUCGCACCGGAGGCGAUCCGAAACCUCUCCCGCCAGAACGCCGACAUCAUCGCGUCCGCCGAGCGUCACGGGUACGAGGUGAUUGACACGCUGGCCAUCACCAUGGGCCGCUACAAGGACUUUCUGCAGGGCCGAUGCGCGUGCCACUUUCACAAGGCUUUUCCCGAGAUUCCUGCCACUUGACAGCUGCUGAAAGAAACUGACUUUGGAAAUCAAGUCAUCAGAGCGGGCUCCUCUCCUCGCACGCGGAUGAACCGACGUCGCUCGCUCGGCCACGCCCCUCAAAGGCACACGUACGGCGCAAUACGACGGUCGUCGAGCCUUUCAGCCGGUCCCGAUGUCCAGUGACAAUUUUACCCCUCAGGAGGGCCGCCGACUCCGAUCGCCGUUCGAGUCCACACGGAAUCGGAAUUUUCGGAUUUGAAUCGCAUCGAAUCAAAGGAGAACAUACGACUCCCAUUCGUGUCCAAAGUUUUUCACUUUGCGCGGGCCCUCCGCCGAGAUGUGCGAGAGUUGAUCCGACGCAGCGCCGAAGGCACAAAACCCAGCCGGGUUCUCGCUUUGGGACCCUUUUCCGGAGGAACUAGUAGCAGCCGCGACGCGUUCCGGUUCAAUCGAUUGUCGUCCGUCCAAACGUCAUUUCAACGGGGCAAAGUGAUUUUGAUCUCCGAGUACGUUGAGCUCGGGCUCGCAAAGUAUUUGAAGAUCCCACUUGUGUGUUUGGCCGCCGUCAAGGUGGAGAAGUCGCGGCCCGGUCCGAGCGCCGCGUCGUCCUAUCACGUGAGAGGACCCGUCAACGAGAUCUACUCGGAGAUCCUGCUCAGUCGCUUGUGUCCCACCGCCUAAACGCGGACAUCCUCUCGUCACAGAAGCGACGAUCAUCUGUCACGCGGAUGUCAAAAGAUUGUCUGGACUUUGAUUCCGUCACACGGACACAUUUCGAUGUGCAAUAAGUGGUUUCCAGUCUGCGUUGUGUUUUGUCCCACCUCUGUGUUCUAUGUCCAGCAGAUUUGGUGUGAUCUCUCUGACUUGA